UGAGCCUUCAGGCUGGACAUGAUCCUUUAACCUAGAUAUGUAAAAAAGGGGCCUACGGGCUGGGUAAGUUAUGAAAUCCCUAUGGAUACGAAAAACAGUUGCUUUGAACAUGUAGUAUGCAUAUGAAAACAAAUAUGAAAUUGUGUGACCAUGAAAUAAACAAGUGAAAAGAAUGAAAAAUCCUUUCGACCAUUAUUUCUGAGGGGUUUCUAUUUCUCUUUCCUCUGA
rnacentral:lncRNA from 1 species